rnacentral:rRNA from 1 species
AAUUGCUACGAAAGGGCACUCUAAUGAGACUGCCGGUGACAAACCGGAGGAAGUGGGAUGACGUCAAGUCCUCAUUGGCCCUUAUAGGUGGGGCUACACACGUCAUACAAUGGCUGGUACAAAGGGUUGCCAACCCGCGAGGGGAGCCAAUCCCAUAAAGCCAGUCGUAGUCCGGAUCGCAGUCUGCAACUCGACUGCGUGAAGUCGGAAUCGCUAGUAAUCGUGGAUCAGCAUGUCACGGUGAAUACGUUCCCGGUCUU